CACGCUUGUAACCCCAGCUACUCAGGUGGCUGAGGCAGGAGAAUUGCUUGAACCGGGGAGGUGGCGGUUGCAGCGAGCAGAGAUUGCGCCACUGCAUUCCAGCCUGGGCGACAGAGUGAGACUCUGCCUCAAAAAAAAAAAAAAAAAAAAAAAAGGCCAGGUAUGGCCAACUCACGCCUGUAAUCCCAGCACUUUGGGAGGCCAAGGCAUGGGCCACUGCGCCCGGCCAUAUUAUUCUAAUUUUACAGAAGAGGAAACCGAGGCUCAGAGAGGGAUAUACCUUACUCGAGGUCGCACAGCUUGUAAGCAGCAGUCAAGAUUCGAAUCCAGGCCCAGCUGACCCCAGAUGCUCAAUCUUUCCCUCUGCCAUACUGCUAGACCUGGCCCUGAAGAGGCCUAUGGCCCGCCAGCUGGUUACAUAAACCACCGCACAAGGUCUCACGUGCUAAGUGCUAAAUGUGUCAUGUCUGACUCCACCCUUUCCCUCACUUCCACAUCCAGCAGUCAUCAAGUGUGGCUGAAAUCGCCGCCGAGCUUGGGAAUGGCUCUGGAAAUCUUCCCUUCGAUAGCUCAGGUCCUUGUUAACACUCACGUGGUCCAAGGUUAUGGCCUCCCAGCUAUCCCCUGGCCUCCAGGCUUACCUUCCUCCAUCCAGCCCUCCUCCCCCUGAGGGUCAACGUCCCUAACCACAGUUCAGGACUAUCACUCCUGGGCUCAAAACCUCCACUGGUCCCCACUGACUCUAGAAGAAAGUUCAAAUUCUUCUACCAGGCAGUCAAGGGCUCUGGUCUAGCUCCAAUCUUCCUUUUUAAUCUUGCCUUGUGUUAUCCUCUUCAAACACACAGUACUCAGCGUGAGCCAGGCGUGAUGGCAGAUACCCAUAGUCCCAGCUACUCAGGAGGCUGCAGCUAGAGGAUUGCUUGAGCCCAGGAGUUUGAGUCCAGCCUGGGCAAUAUAUUGAGACCCAGUUUCUAAACAAAUGAACAAAACCCCAGACACCCAGUGUGCUCUCCAGCUUCUACAUGACCCACACCUUCAUGCCUUUGCCUGUGCUGGCUUGUUCUGCCAGAAAUGCUCUUUCCCCAAGCUUGUCAAAAUCCCUCCAAAACGUUAAGAUCUGACUCCAAGGCCACCUCCUUCUUGGCCCUCCCUGAUCCACAGGAUGAGAACGAUCAUUCCUUCCUCUGACUCAUCAACCUUUUGUGCUCCUAUGGCCAGCAUCCACCUUACACAGCAGCAGAGACUCAGGUUCUCAUGCCCUCAGCUGGGGAUCCCUGAGCAUCCGGGUCUUCUGAAAUGGACUGCUGCAAAUGCUAAGUUCUGCAGCAACUGGGGAGAAGAGUGUUGGAGGGAGUUGCACAGAAAGGACCAUCCACUGAAUGUUCCAGAAGGCAGC
rnacentral:lncRNA from 1 species